UACGUAGGGGGCUAGCGUUGUCCGGAUUUAUUGGGCGUAAAGAGCGUGUAGGCGGCCAGGUAGGUCUGCUGUGAAAACUGGAGGCUUAACCUCCAGACGUCGAUGGAAACCGUAUGGCUAGAGUCCGGAAGAGGAGAGUGGGAUUCCUGGUGUAGCGGUGAAAUGCGCAGAUAUCAGGAAGAACACCCGUGGCGAAGGCGGCUCUCUGGGACGGUACUGACGCUGAGACGCGAAAGCGUGGGGAGCGAACAGG
rnacentral:rRNA from 1 species